AGUGAACGCUGGCGGCGUGCUUAACACAUGCAAGUCGAACGAGAACGGAUUAUAGCUUGCUAUAAUUGUCAGCUAAGUGGCGCACGGGUGAGUAAUGUAUAGGUAAUAUGCCUCUUACUAAGGGAUAACAAUUGGAAACGAUUGCUAAUACCUUAUAUUCCUUUUUAUCAAAAGAUAAAAAGGGAAAGAUUUAUUGGUAAGAGAUUAGCCUGUAUUGUAUCAGUUAGUUGGUGGGGUAAUGGCCUACCAAGACGAUGACGCAUAACUGGUUUGAGAGGAUGAUCAGUCACACUGGAACUGAGACACGGUCCAGGCUCCUACGGGAGGCAGCAGUGGGGAAUAUUGCACAAUGGACGAAAGUCUGGUGCAGCAACGCCGCGUGGAGGAUGACACAUUUCGGUGCGUAAACUCCUUUUAUAUAAGAAGAUAAUGACGGUAUUAUAUGAAUAAGCACCGGCUAACUCCGUGCCAGCAGCCGCGGUAA
rnacentral:rRNA from 1 species